GACAGAGGGGGCGAGCGUUAUCCGGAAUUACUGGGCGUAAAGCGUACGCAGGCGGCUUCUUAAGUCUGACGUGAAAGCUCCCGGCUUAACUGGGAGAGGUCGUUGGAGACUGGGGGGCUUGAGGCGAUGAGAGGGGUGUAGAAUUCCCGGUGUAGUGGUGGAAUGCGUAGAUAUCGGGAGGAAUACCAGUGGCGAAAGCGACACCCUGGCAUAGGCCUGACGCUCAUGUACGAAAGCGUGGGGAGCAAACGGG
rnacentral:rRNA from 1 species